ensembl:lncRNA
AUGGGAGGAAAGAGGUGUGGCAGCAGAUAUGUUAGUAGGGUUGCCGCCAUCUUGGUAACGGUAAAUGCAGCCUCCCUUCCUGUACCUAUUGGGAACAGCAGAAACUUCUCCGAAUGCCGGUACCACGAAGGCAACCCACCGAGGACGUUCUUUACAUCUCUGACCGAGUAUUUUUCAGCCAAGAGCAAAGAGGACUAAAAAAAACUCUUCAAAGCUUUCUCAGGCUCAUUACCUAUAGCUGCCCACCAGGAGACCCUCUCUUUCACAGAGGUUUUUUCUGCCAACUCCUUCUGCUGUUACUGCUGCUUGCUGUUGCUACUACUGAGACCUUAGGGAAUUAUUGAAGCUUUCCAAGCAAGGGAGUGGCAUGGAGAGAGGAGAGAAUAGAAAAGUAGGAGACAAUGAAGAGCCCAUUUUAAUAGCGCAGGUAAGAAUGAGGAGGAAGAAUGAAGAGUUGGAGCACUCUGGGUUUGUUAACCUGGUUGGUUGCCUGGAAAGGAAAGAAGGCAGGAGGAACCCUGAGAUUUGGCAGGGGGUUUAUUGUGAAGAACCCUGGAUAUGCAGGCAGCUGGGUGCCUCGGUGGAUAAAGUGCCAGGCCUGGAGGUGAGAGAUCCUGAGUUCAAAUGUGACCACAAAUACUUCCCAAGCAAGUCACUUAACCCCCUUGCCUUGCCCUUCCCUCUCUUCUGCCUUGGAACAGGUACUUGGCACCGACUUGAGCACCAUGGAAAUAUGAAUUGCCUGAAAGCACUGAUAUAA